CCUGUUUAGGUCUGUGUAGAAACCCAAAGGCUGGCCGGCCUCAUAAAUCCUCUAGACAUUACUGGUGUGGACACUCUGGCUGGAUGCCAUGGGAACGCUGCACAGAAAUAGAAAGGAGAGAAACACAUCGACGCUCUGGAUGUCGGGUGGGCUUCAGGCUCCGUUUGCCCAUCCUAGAUGCGGGGGUGGAGGGAGGCACUCAAGUGACUCUACUGGAUCACAUUAUGCUAAUCGUCUUUCGUCUGUGAGAACAGUGUCUAGCCAACGUGGAGGAAUGGCUGGACAUGAUCCAUGGAGGGCCACCCAGCAGUUUGGAUGAAGAGUCUGGAUUAGAAACUUGGAAUUUUCAUGUCAUCCUCCCAAACUCUGCAAACCUGGUCCACGAAACCAAAGUUUUCUAAGACUUUGAAGCCCAAAGUGUUGGGGAUGGAAUCCAGGGCCUCCCACAUCCUAGGCAAGCAUUCUACCACUGAGCUGUACUCCCA
rnacentral:lncRNA from 1 species